rnacentral:lncRNA from 1 species
CGAACCACCCUCAACCUCCGGAAGAGCGCGGGAAGUUUGCCGGAAACGGACAGAAAGGAGUCCCUGCGACCGCGUAGCCUCCUGCAGCGCCCCCUGUUGGCAGAGUCGUAGCGAGGCCGAGAUGAGGUCCGUGACGUGGCUGCGUGAGCAUCCCGGCUGCCUGUGGAUGAGUGGGCGUGGGGCUGAGAGGCGACAACAGUGGGGAGCUUCCUCAGCGAUCCUGGGCUUCUCGGGUCAGGCCAACUUCAGUCCGGGCUGGAGGCCGUGCACAACACCAAGCGCAUGGUGGGGUCCUCAGCUGCCUCGGGACUGGCUCCGCCUCUGCCCCUGGCCCUGGGAUGGGGGCCAAAGGUUUUGGGCAGUGGCAGCAGCAGGAGGAAGUAGCACCUGGAAAACGUGUCUCCUGAGUCGACCCUUCCUGUCUGGGGGGGCCGAACCCUGGCUGUCUUUGUUCCCAUAGCAACGAAUAGGGCUCCCCUAUGUUCCAGCCCCUUAGAUACGGUGUGCCCCAGGAGGGCUCUGCAGGAGCUACAGGUCCUUCUGGUGGGAAGGGAGGCGGGAGGUGGGCUGGGGCAGCCCGGCUGGCCUGUGUGGAGACAUCACACUUCCUGGUUGGGGACAGGGUGAAGAGGGUUGGUCCCCACCUCUGCCUUGAGCAGAGCUUCUAGUGGGUGAAGCAGUGGGGAUCUCCUGCCUGCCGGAAGGAUGGGUGGGGCUUCCACAUCGCAGCCCAGUAGGGUGGACUGACCGGUCUUCUGACCUCUGGCUCCUUGGAGGGACUGGCCUGAGGUGGGCCCUGGCAUCCCCAGCCUCCUCUAAACCACCUCCCUGGAACAUGCGGGACAGGAGCCCAAGCGGCAUCUGAGGAGGGCGGGUUCUGCCAGGCACAGAGGGCUCCAGCGUGAUUGCCACUGGUUAAUGACCUGCCACCCCCGCCCCCCCAACCUCUGGUGCCGUCCAAGGACUCUGACCCCAGUGCAGUGUCUGUAGGGAAGAGGAGCCAUGGGGCUUCGGGCAGGCCCCAUCCUGCUUCUGCUGCUGUGGCUGCUGCCAGGUAAGGGAUGCGCCUCUGUCUUCUCCUCCCUCCCAUCCCCUGCCAGCCUGUGUGCCCCCCUUUGCUCUCUUGCUUUCCAGGGGCCCAUUGGGAUGUGCUGCCUUCAGGUACCGUAGACAUCUCAUCCCUGCACUCAAACAGCCCCUACUCCUGGCCAGGGAGGACUGGCCCCAGGGGACAUGCAGAGGCCCUUGGCCCUGGGAGCCUCAUCCCUGGACAUCAAGGGCAGAGGAAUGUCAGAAGGGAUGUCAGAAGGGCAGAGGGAUGUUAGGGUAAAGAGUCAGACCGGGAGGGAUGGGCUUUCUGAGAGGGAAUAAAGCUGAGGUCUCCCACCCGCCCAUCCCUCUGCAGAAUGCGGCCACUCCAAGGAGGCCGGGAGGAUUGUGGGAGGCCAAGACACCCAGGAAGGACGCUGGCCGUGGCAGGUUGGCCUGUGGUUGACCUCAGUGGGGCAUGUAUGUGGGGGCUCCCUCAUCCACCCACGCUGGGUGCUCACAGCCGCCCACUGCUUCCUGAGGUCUGAGGAUCCCGGGCUCUACCAUGUUAAAGUCGGAGGGCUGACACCCUCACUUUCAGAGCCCCACUCGGCCUUGGUGGCUGUGAGGAGGCUCCUGGUCCACUCCUCAUACCAUGGGACCACCACCAGCGGGGACAUUGCCCUGAUGGAGCUGGACUCCCCCUUGCAGGCCUCCCAGUUCAGCCCCAUCUGCCUCCCAGGACCCCAGACCCCCCUCGCCAUUGGGACCGUGUGCUGGGGUGACUCCGGGGGGCCGCUGGUCUGCCCCAUCAAUGAUACGUGGAUCCAGGCCGGCAUUGUGAGCUGGGGAUUCGGCUGUGCCCGGCCUUUCCGGCCUGGUGUCUACACCCAGGUGCUAAGCUACACAGACUGGAUUCAGAGAACCCUGGCUGAAUCUCACUCAGGCAUGUCUGGGGCCCGCCCAGGUGCCCCAGGAUCCCACUCAGGCACCUCCAGAUCCCACCCAGUGCUGCUGCUUGAGCUGUUGACCGUAUGCUUGCUUGGGUCCCUG